AUGAUGGAUGCUAACUUAGUUGCUCCAGCAUGUGCCCACAGGUGGGCCUCAUCUUUGAUUGUGCGAGCAAGAUCAUCAUUUGAGGGUCAGGCAUUAUCAAAGACAACGGCAUUUCGGUGCUUCAAAAUGGACCAGGCAGUGAGCGCGAUGAGCGAGUUGAUCCCCUUGCGAGAUGAAGCUGGGGCAGUGUUGUUGGUUUUGCACCACCAGUCGAAGAAGGUGUCGGUGGAGCACGUUGUAGGGAUUGGUAGACGGCACCAUGAGAGGAUUUCAUGCCAAGUAAUCCGGGAAAAGACGCACCGGGCAAGCAGGUGA
rnacentral:rRNA from 1 species